ACUUCGCUGUUAUCUGCUGUCUGCACUAAAAUGCUGUUUAUUUUCAGGCAAAAGUCUGAAGAAACAAUUCAGGCCGUUAAGAUGUACAAUUACACAAAGGAAAAUGCCAUCAAUUAUACAAUAGUUAAAGGAAACGAAACCAUUACCUUCGAAGACGCUCUUGUUUUCAGUAACGAAGAGUGCGAUAUAUACUACACUGGUGAUGGAGAUUAUGAACUGUGGGUGCCCGAGAACAAAACUAAAGAUAUACCGCCAUGUUGCGACUUCAUGUUUACAUACUUUGCACUCAACAAAACAAUAUACAACAUUUAUAACGAAUCUUGCACAUCGUUAUCUGCUUCAAGCGAGACAAAUUGAAAACAGAAGCGUCAAGUAAUGCAUAGGUCUUUUUGUAGUUGUACAGUUAGGACACAUUUUGGCAAAUUAAAAAAAUACCUGGCA